rnacentral:rRNA from 1 species
AUUGAACGCUGGCGGCAGGCCUAACACAUGCAAGUCGAGCGAGCGGCGGACGGGUGAGUAAUGUCUGGGAAACUGCCUGAUGGAGGGGGAUAACUACUGGAAACGGUAGCUAAUACCGCAUACCAUCAGAUGUGCCCUGGUGGGAUUAGCUAGUAGGUGGGGUAACGGCUCACCUAGGCGACGAUCCCUAGCUGGUCUGAGAGGAUGACCAGCCACACUGGGACUGGGAAACGGUCAAGACUCCUACGGGAGGCAGGAGUGGGGAAUAUUGCACAAUGGGCGCAAGCCUGAUGCAGCCAUGCCGCGUGUGUGAAGAAGGCCUUCGGGUUGUAAAGCACUGUCAGCGGGGAGGCGUUACCCGCAGAAGAAGCACCGGCUAACUCCGUGCCAGCAGCCGCGGUAAUUC